rnacentral:rRNA from 1 species
UACGGGGGGGGCAAGCGUUGUUCGGAAUUACUGGGCUUGAAGCGCACGUAGGCGGCGUUGUAAGUGUCGGGUGAAAUCCCACGGCUCACCCGUGGAACUGCCCGGCAUACUGCGAUGCUAGAGUGUGGUAGGGGAGAGCGGAACUCCUGGUGGAGCGGUGAAAUGCGUAGAUAUCAGGAGGAACACCGGUGGCGAAGGCGGCUCUCUGGUCCACAACUGACGCUGAGGUGCGAAAGCUAGGGGAGCAAACGGG